GCUAGUGAAGCAAAACGGACAUGCAAGAGACCUAAGCCCUCUAAUUAAGGGGUUCAAAUCCCCUCACUAACU
rnacentral:tRNA from 1 species